AGAACGAACGCUGGCGGCAGGCCUAACACAUGCAAGUCGAACGGAUCCUUCGGGAUUAGUGGCGGACGGGUGAGUAACACGUGGGAACGUGCCCUUUGGUUCGGAACAACUCAGGGAAACUUGAGCUAAUACCGGAUAAGCCCUUCGAGGGAAAGAUUUAUCGCCAUUGGAGCGGCCCACGUAGGAUUAGCUAGUUGGUGAGGUAAAAGCUCACCAAGGCGACGAUCCUUAGCUGGUCUGAGAGGAUGAUCAGCCACAUUGGGACUGAGACACGGCCCAAACUCCUACGGGAGGCAGCAGUGGGGAAUCUUGCGCAAUGAGCGAAAGCCUGACGCAGCCAAUGCCGCGUGAAUGGAUGAAGGUCUUAGGAUUGUAAAAUUCUUUCACCGGGACAUAAUGACGGUACCCGAAAAGAACGCCCGGCUAACGUUCGUGCCAGCAGCCGC
rnacentral:rRNA from 1 species